CUUUCAACCGCGCUAUUACGUUACCGACCACUUCACCGAUCGAUCGCCGACGAAAGAAAUCCAAAAAAAAAUCUAAAUAAAAAUCAAAUCGAAGCAUAAAAAUAGAAAUCUUACACCCCGACAUAAAACUAACGGCCUAUUGUUGUGUCAACGUAUUUCGCAUUCUCCUGAUGUUAUUACCACUAACGAUUUUCUCGAUCCUCGCCCAUAGAGAACAGCGAUGAGAGUCGUUCGUUGUUGAAAUUCGCACUCGAUAGUAGUAAAAGAACGAAUAUAUCUUUCUUCGAUUUUAGAUGCCCACCGGCACUUAAUGCGAAUAGACGUGUAGCGACGGUUUCCCUUUCGAAGACACGAGUCGAUAACCUAAUCUGUAUUUGAUGCAUUCAAGGUGCAACGAUCAUACAGAAAUGUUGAGAAAACGCCAGCCAACGAUGGCGCAAUUUGCUGUGUCUACCUGACACGACACUUCGACGUUAGUUCCUGGUGAUCCUCCUUCCUGACUGCAAUUGAUCAUCGCUUCCUAGUGACCCGCAUUGUAAAGGCUACUCACUUCCCAUUCGCUUCGAUACUCUCAUAGCAAAAGUCACAGCGGUCCGCGCGCGCGCUUCCAUAAUAUAUUCCUGGAUGAAUCUACUUGUAAAAACGAAUCCACGUUACCCACGUAGACGUAUAGAGUCGACGACUCGCAGAAAAGUAACCGACACUGUAACGAUGACGCUCUUUUCAGUUCCAGCUCCUGUCUUUCCGCUGUAGCCGCUGGAAUGUAAGUUUCAUUUUGCAGGAGUGACGUCACCGGUGAGUAUACUUCACUCGAUGCUUUCUUUCCAUAUAUACAUUAUAUUUCGUAUCAGACACUCUCCGCGGGCGUAAUUUUUUCUUUCACUAAUAAUUACAAGCUUUCCCACCUGCCCCUGUAUUGGCGAGGAGUUUUUUCUUCUCGUGUUCUUUUUUUCACGAAUCCGCAUACUGCGGUGUUCCAAACUCCGUGUGUGCAUCUCGUGCGACAACCCGAUUCCUCGAUGAGUUGAAUAAAAGUUUUUUUUCUUCGAUAUCAAAAUUGUCGUUCGUCCAAAGAACGAAUCAGUUAUCUUCACGGCAUUAGAACCGCUCGUUUGAUAUAUAACACCCAGUACAUAUAUUUAUAAAAUUUGAUCGGUGUGGAGUUGAUUGAUUGUACGUUGAAAAGGUUAUCGAACAGAAAUAUAUGUGUAUUACGAACUCGAUGGGUCGUUCACCGUUCAGGUUUUCUUGCAGGUGAUAAAUUUCUUUGAACUUCAUAAACCUUGACCAUCGGCUAUACGCCUGAUUUAAAAUUCGUAACUGUGAACUAGCUGCUAUACUAAACAUCACGCCUUAAUUUAUGCGCAAUCACCUCGCCACAGAAAUAUUAUAAUCUGGUUUCACGCUCAUCGAAUCGUGUGGACAUUCUUCAAUUGAUUAACGUACGAUCUGGAAUAAUGGGGAGCGAAUUGGACAAUUUUCUUACAAAUGUUACUUUAUUUUAUUUAUUUUUUUUUUUUUCAGUAAUUACGAACGAUCUAUCUGGAUCAAAUUUGCUCUCGAAUGAAGAGAUAAUUCUUCUACUACCUAUUUACGUCAUAAGGCUGAAGGUGAUAGGAAAAAAAAAACAAAUGAAUGAUGAUCGCAGACCGUACUUAGGAAUAGAUUUUAUAAGACGAUAGUAAAAAGCUGGGGCCCCAUAUUUGAUCUUGUUCGGAAUGCCCCACAUACCGAUCGCUAAACACAGAUAACAUCGUUAAUUUGAAUAUGAUGAGCCAACAUUUAGGUUUCUAAGUUCACAUUUCCUCGUUCCCAUGAGACUUCACUUCUUUCUCCUUAAAAGCCUUUACGAUUUUAUCGUGCAACCUGCGUCACGUUACGUUACAAUUUUCAGAUUCGAAUUGCACACUUUGCGACAAAAAGGAAAAAGAAAGAAAACAAAAAAAACGAAAGAAAGAUCUUCAGUUCACGCGAACAAUCGAAGAGAGAUAACCACAUCUCCCUGUCAAUUCUGUUGUUCCUUUUUGGAAAUCACGUGCUCCUGGAACAAUCAUAGAACAUCGCAACACGCGCGGGGUGAGCGAGAAAUUUUAACUUUUGGCAAACUUUCAAUUUCACAUUCAAGUGCGUUAAUUCCUCUUCCUCACUAUAUUCGAUGUACGAUUUUCGCUCACCCCGUACAAUACUCAAUUAUACCACAUACACCACCAGCUAUACACCGAUUGAAGUACGAAGAACCUUUUAGUAUCGGGUGAGAUGAAUCGAACACUUGUCGCUUUUUAUUUAUUCAUUUAUUUCUCAUUUUAUUUCACGUGCAUACAAUUUCUGUGCACGUGUACGUGAAUACAUGUGUAAAAAUGGCGAACACUCGCUCGAUGAGGUGUACGUGCAUUAUACGUUCGCGAAUGUGUGGCAUGUAUAUCGUAAGGAAUAUGAAGACGAGGUCGUGGGAAGCACGGACCGACGGUGAAAGUUCCCCUAUAGGUGUACUAAACUUACUUUAACACAAUCGCGCGAUACGUGUAUAGGUACCUGUA